AAAAAAUUAACCCUUGUGAAAGCCAAAUGAGUCGGGCUAUAGAGUGUCGCUGUGACAAGGAUUUUGCUUGUGAUGAAAAGGAAUGUCGGUCAUGUGUACCUCUGCCUCAGUGCAGUGACAUACAUAGAACAGGUGACAAAUUCUAUGAGUACAAAUGUAGAACAAAAAGCACAGUGCAACCAGGCACUGAUAGAGCCAUUACAUAUUCCACUGGGAAAACAGCAAAGAAUCCAGAGACAGAAGGUAAA